ACCAGGUUUGUUGUUUUUGUUGCUGUUGUUUCUAGUGUUGUUUUUUUUUUGGGGUGCAGAGUGUUUGUCUGCUCUAUUGUUGUAACCCUUUGUUCUUCACCAGACUGUCCAUCUUCACCCCUCGAGCUGUAUGCCUGUACCGUAAGCCGGAGUGGAUCAUCUACAGCGAAUGCAUCUUGACCUCCAGGACUUUCAUCCGCACGGUCACUGAUAUCCCUGGCAAAUGGCUGAUUGAUGUAGCCCCACGCUAUUUCGACCCGAGCAAUUUCCUGACGCGCAAGGCGAAGCUUGUUGUUGAGAGGCUGCACGUCGAACUGGAGAAGGGAAAAAAGAAGAAGAAAAAGGGGGGCCACGACCAUGGCAAGAGGCUUGAUCUCAUCUGACGCUUUCUCGCCUUGUUGCUCUGCUUCCUAGUUGAGCUGCGGUUGCAUGUACGAAGAGGGAUUAGGCAUGGUCGCCGUUUUGUAGAAGCAGAGCAUUUCGCCAAAUGUUGCUGAUGCAUCCGUCUCCUGUAUAUAUUUCAAGGAUCAAACCUUUGAAAGGAUCAUCUGAAUCUGGGAAUGAAUGUGGAAUUGUGGAUCA